rnacentral:rRNA from 1 species
AUGCCCUCUGUCCUGUCUCUGCUCUGUAUUUUGUUCAGCCUUUUCUCCUUCAACACAUCGUCAUUAGCUGCCACACAAGCAAAUGUGUCUCAGAUUGAUCGCCAUGCCCUCCUUUGCUUUAAAUCUGGCAUCACCUUCGAUCCCCUCGGCAUCCUACACUCAUGGAACAAUGGCUCGCUUGAUUUUUGCAGCUGGAAAGGGGUCGCUUGUGGCACCAAGUUCCCGCCCCGGGUGGUCUCUCUUAACCUCACCUCCGCUCGUCUUCGUGGGCAGCUAUCUGGAUGCGUCAGCAACCUGGCAUUUCUUUCCCGGAUGAACCUUGCUGAUAAUCAUCUGUCAGGAACCAUCCCCGAAGAGUUGGGUAAGCUUCCAAGCCUCCAUACGCUGAAUCUUGCCGGCAACAAUCUUCAAGGUAACAUCCCUGAUUCCUUAGGCGCUAGCAGUUUUCUUAGCUAUGUCGACCUUGCAAACAACACUCUUACCAGUGGCAUCCCUGUCUCGCUGGCCAACAGCGUCUCACUCACCACACUUAUACUGUCACGUAAUAACCUCUCUGGAGUGAUCCCCUCUACUCUGUUUGAUAACUCGUCCAAGCUUUCUGUGGUUGACCUCCGGAUGAAUUCUUUAGCUGGUCCCAUCCCACAUUUCCGUAAGGUCACAGCACUCAAAUUUCUUCGCCUGACAGACAACUUGCUCUCUGGAAGCAUACCUCCAUCAAUAGGCAAUGCUUCUUCCCUCACCUCUAUAUUGCUCGGCCAAAAUAAGUUAUCAGGAUCAAUUCCAGAGACUUUAGGUCACAUUACAAAACUCAUUGAGCUUGACCUAGGUUUCAACAGUCUAUCAGGGAUUGUCCCGUUGCCUCUUUACAACGUGACAUCACUCAAAUAUUUUAGUGUGGUCAGCAAUGCCCUUGUUGGACAGAUGCCAUCCCACAUUGGUUACUCGCUACCAAACCUCCAGUUCCUUAUCAUGGGAAGCAACAGGCUGGAGGGCCUGAUCCCUGCUUCACUAACCAACAUGUUAAAUCUCCAAACACUUGACCUUUCAAACAACUCGCUACAUGGCUAUGUUCCUUCUCUUGGUUCGUUGGCAAACUUGCGCCGGUUAGAUUUAGGAAGGAACUUGCUAGAAGCACAUGACUGGUCAUUUCUUACAUCUCUAGCAAAUUGCACCCAGCUGAUAAAAUUGUCGUUGGAAGGGAAUGCUCUAAAUGGCAGCCUGCCUAUAUCAAUUGUUAACCUUUCCAAGAGGCUACAAGAUUUAUCGCUUGGGUCAAACCAAAUUUCGGGCUCCAUACCUGUUGAGAUUACCAAUCUUGUUAAUCUCACUUUGCUUAGGAUGGAAAGCAAUUUUCUUUCUGGAAGCAUACCUUCUACCAUCGGGAAGCUACGAAACUUAUAUAUCCUAAAUCUAUCAAAGAACAAAUUAUCAGGUCAUAUCCCUCCCUCAGUUGGUGACAUCGCCCAACUUGGCAAGCUUUAUCUUGACAAUAACAACUUGAGUGGAAACAUACCUGGUAGUUUAGGUCAGUGCAAGGGACUUCUUGAACUGAACUUGUCUCGGAACAAUCUUGGCGGGUCAGUACCAUCCGAACUGUUUGCUAAUCCUCCACUCUCCUUGGUUCUGGACUUCUCACACAACAGUCUCACAGGGGAACUACCAUUGAUAGUUGGUACACAUGGCAGUGGUAAUGGUCCAGUAUCCCUUCACAUGGAAGGAAACAAGUUUCAUGGACAAAUUCCAAAAAGAUGGUAUCUACUAGUAUCAACCCAACAGAUUAAUCUGUCUGAUAAUGACUUAUCCGGUGCCGUGCCUGAAUUCUUUGAGCAACUUCAUAUGCUGAAGCAACUUGAUCUGUCUUACAAUAACUUGGAAGGGUCUGUUCCUACAAGUGGGAUCUUUGAGAAUUCUGCUGCAGUAGUUUUGGAUGGCAACAAGGGACUCUGUUCAAAUUCCUCUGGGCGAGAAUUACCACUUUGUCCUCACAUCUCAGCAUCAGCGACUAAAACAAAGCACCAACUGUCCUUGCUGGCGAUCUCACUGCUAAUUGUACUACCACCAUUUACUAUUGGUUCCCUAGUGUUGUUAUGGUUUCUGCUCACUCUUUGGAAGAAAGGGCUGUUUUCAUUUUCGCGAUGGGAUCUUGUGUCCAAGAUGUUUCCUAAUAGAAGAGAAGUGCAUACAGCCCCGUUCCAUGAUGAGAAGAAGCUGAAGAGAGUGUCAUACCAGGACAUUCUUAAAGCUACCAACUGGUUUUCUUCGGUCCAUACUAUCAGCUCAACCUGCACUGGUUCAGUUUAUGUUGGUAGGUUCAAGUCUGACAGGAGCCUAGUUGCCAUCAAAGUAUUCAACUUGAGUGAACCUGGUGGAUAUGAUAGUUACCUUAUUGAGUGUGAAGUGCUGCGAAGCAUCCGCCAUAGGAAUAUAAUGCGACCUGUGACUGUAUGCUCAACAUUGGAUUCACAAAACAAUGAGUUCAAAGCACUAAUCUUCGAGUUCAUGGUUAAUGGAAGCCUGGAGAGAUGGUUGCAUUCUGAGCAAAACAAUGGAAUCCUAGACAAAGUGCUAAGCUUUGGCCAGAGGAUAAGCAUAGCAACAGAUGUGGCUUCUGCUCUUGAUUAUGUCCACAACCAACUGACGCCUCCUUUGAUCCAUUGUGAUUUGAAGCCAAACAAUGUCCUUGUGGAUGAUGACAUGACUGCACGGCUCAGUGACUUUGGCUCAGCACAGUUCCUAUCACCAGGUCUGGCUAUUCCUAAAAGCAUGGAUGAUGUUGGAGGAACCAUUGGGUACAUGGCACCCGAGUAUGGGAUGGGUUGCGGGGUCUCCGUAGGAGGCGACGUGUAUAGUUUCGGAGUGCUUCUGCUGGAGUUGCUUACCGGAAAACGACCUACCGAUGAUAUGUUCGUGGAUGGACUCAGCCUUUGUAAGUUCUGUGAAUCCAUGCUCCCAGACAGAGUUGCAGAGAUUCUAGAUCCUCGUAUGGCGCACGAGGAACAUCAAGGAAGUGUAGAAGCAUGGAUGCAGAGAUAUGUCGUCCCGUUGGUUGCUCUUGGGCUGUCGUGCACCCUGGAAUCUCCCAAGGACAGGCCUGGAAUGAAAGAUGUUUAUGCGGAACUUUCUGCUAUUGGAGCCUCUUUUCUGGAACGCCACGAUGAUUGA